CAACAUAAUUGGUUCACAUACUUAAACAAUUAUCUUCAAAAUUAGGGCAUUAAAACGAACCAACACCUGCAAAACCAUCGAUCAAACUAAAUCAGCUAACAAAGUCGAAUCACCGGAAGCAGAACCGUGAUAUACAUAGUGCAUUAAGUUUAAGCAAGUAACAACAAUCUGUUUUAGAGUUUACCAUGAAAGGAGUGGAAAAAUGGUGGCUUAAGUGAUGAGAUGAUACCUUGAAGUCGAAAUCAGUGUUGGUGGUGGCAAGAGUGGCGGAGUGAGGAUGAAUUAGAGAGAGAGGAUGAAUCAAUAUAAUAGUGGUACCGGCUUUUGAAAUCUCACACUGAUUGAAAAAGUC
rnacentral:lncRNA from 1 species